rnacentral:rRNA from 1 species
AGAGUUUGAUCCUGGCUCAGAGUGAACGCUGGCGGCGUGGAUUAGGCAUGCAAGUCGCGCGAACCCGCAAGGGUUAGCGGCAAACGGGUGAGUAAUGAAUGAACAAUCUGCCCUUGAGUCAGGCAUAGCCUCGUGAAAACGGGGGUAAUUCCUGAUAAUAUCAUUGAAGCGCAUGCUUUAAUGAUUAAAGGUGGGGACCGCAAGGCCUACCACUUAAGGAUGAGUUCGUUUCCUAUCAGCUAGUUGGUGAGGUAAUGGCCCACCAAGGCUUAUGACGGGUAGCUGGUCUGAGAGGAUGGUCAGCCACACUGGGACUGAGACACUGCCCAGACUCCUACGGGAGGCUGCAGUCGAGAAUAUUUAGCAAUGGGCGAAAGCCUGACUAUGCGACGCCGCGUGAGGGAUGAAGGUUUUCGGAUCGUAAACCUCUUUUGUCAAGGGAGAAAAAACUGCAUUUAAUAAAUGCAGGACUGACGGUACUUGACGAAUAAGCCACGGCUAACUCCGUGCCAGCAGCCGCGGUAAUACGGAGGUGGCAAGCGUUACUCGGAAUCAUUGGGUGUAAAGGGCAAGUAGGCGGUCCAAUAAGUGAGGGGUGAAAUCCUGCGACUCAAUCGCAGAACUGCCUUUCAUACUGUCGGACUUGGGGUAGGAAGAGGAAAAUGGAAUUCUAGGUGUAAGGGUGAAAUCUGUAGAUAUCUAGAAGAACACCAACGGCGAAGGCAAUUUUCUACUCUUAUCCUGACGCUAAAUUGCGAAAGCUAGGGGAGCGAACAGAAUUAGAUACCCUGGUAGUCC